rnacentral:ncRNA from 1 species
CUGCGGGGACGACCCCGCCAGCGUCCGUACCUUGGGGACGGCCCC